UGUAGCUCAGUGAUAGAGUGCUAUGCCUAGCAUGCAUAAAGCCCUGGGUUCAAUCCCCAACA
rnacentral:tRNA from 1 species